rnacentral:misc_RNA from 1 species
AAAAAGGAAAUGCCAUGUGGGGAUGAUCAAAUCAUAUGUGCAUGGAAACAUUGCUUAAACAUUUGUAUAGCCCUAAAGAUUGCCUAUAAUACCCUAUAAAUGACAUAUUAUAUACAGUUAGAGCUUGAUAAGAGCCGGCAUCUGUCAUUUCAUCUUUUGUAUAAUUUUUGUGUUCUUCCUGCUUAACUGUAUUUCAAGAUUAAAAUGCAAUGUGAACCAAACACUUUAUGUGUUCUUCAGUUCUUCAGACAAAUGAGCCAAGGUCCCUAUGUGCAACACAUUGCAGUGAUGGAUUUGCCUCAGUACAAGAGCAUGCAGAUA